rnacentral:rRNA from 1 species
UACGUAGGGACCGAGCGUUGUCCGGAAUCAUUGGGCGUAAAGAGCGUGUAGGCGGCCACUUAAGUCCUGCGUGAAAUCUUGCGGCUCAACCGCAAGCGGUCGUGGGAAACUGGGUGGCUAGAGUGCGGGAGAGGAGAGUGGAAUUCCUGGUGUAGCGGUGGAAUGCGUAGAGAUCGGGAAGAACAUCAGUGGCGAAGGCGGCCUGGUGGGCUGUUGCUGACGCUGAGGCGCGACAGCGUGGGGAGCAAACAGG